rnacentral:rRNA from 1 species
UUUAAAGCAACUAAGGGCACACGGUGGAUGCCUUGGCUCUGAGAGGCGAAGAAGGACGUGGUAAGCUGCGAUAAGCUACGGGAAGCUGCACACAAGCAUUAUAUCCGUAGAUCUCCGAAUGGGACAACCCACUAUACUGAAGGUAUAGUAUCUUGAAAGAGAAGCCAACCCCGAGAACUGAAACAUCUAAGUACCGGGAGGAAAAGAAAAUAAAGUAAUGAUUCCCUAAGUAGUGGCGAGCGAACGGGGAACAGCCUAAACUUUAGCAGCGUGCUGCUAGAGGGUUGUAGGACCGCAUUUAGAAAGCAUCAUGAAGCUGAAGGCUCUGGAAAGAGCUGCCAUAGAAGGUGAUAGCCCUGUAAGCGUAAGGUGAUGUGGACGAGCGGUAUCCUGAGUAGGGCGGGACCGGAGAAAUCCUGCUUGAAUCUGCCAGCACCAUCUGGUAAGGCUAAAUACUCCUCAGAGACCGAUAGUGAACCAGUACCGUAAGGGAAAGGUGAAAA